UACGGGGGGGGCAAGCGUUGUUCGGAAUUACUGGGCGUAAAGGGCUCGUAGGCGGCCAACUAAGUCAGACGUGAAAUCCCUCGGCUUAACCGGGGAAUUGCGCUCCAAACCGGCAGACUUGAGGGAGACAGAGGUGUGCGGAACUGAUGGUGGAGCGGUGAAAUGCGUUGAUAUCAUCAGGAACACCAGUGGCGAAAGCGGCACACUGGGUCUCUUCUGACGCUGAGGCACGAAAGCCAGGGGAGCGAACGGG
rnacentral:rRNA from 1 species